AACGCACACUGCGCCCGCCAGUACCCUGGCGGUGCAUGCCCGUCCGAGCGUCAGUUCUACCCGUCGAGCCCGGCUCGUGUUGGGGCGCCGCGGCCGCCGCGGGCCCCCAAAGACAGUGGCGGGACCGCCGCCGCGCCGAGCGUAGUAGCGCGAGCCUCGCUCCGGAGCGGCGGCGGCCCCCCUAGACCGAAGCCCCCAGGGCAAGCAAGGAUGACCUCGGAUCGGGCAGGGAUACCCGCUGAACUUAA
rnacentral:misc_RNA from 1 species